AUGCUAAGCUGUCAGACUUUG
rnacentral:miRNA from 1 species